CUGACGAGUGGCGGACGGGUGAGUAAUGUCUGGGAAACUGCCUGAUGGAGGGGGAUAACUACUGGAAACGGUAGCUAAUACCGCAUAACGUCGCAAGACCAAAGAGGGGGACCUUCGGGCCUCUUGCCAUCGGAUGUGCCCAGAUGGGAUUAGCUAGUAGGUGGGGUAACGGCCCACCUAGGCGACGAUCCCUAGCUGGUCUGAGAGGAUGACCAGCCACACUGGAACUGAGACACGGUCCAGACUCCUACGGGAGGCAGCAGUGGGGAAUAUUGCACAAUGGGCGCAAGCCUGAUGCAGCCAUGCCGCGUGUAUGAAGAAGGCCUUCGGGUUGUAAAGUACUUUCAGCGGGGAGGAAGGCGAUAAGGUUAAUAACCUUGUCGAUUGACGUUACCCGCAGAAGAAGCACCGGCUAACUCCGUGCCAGCAGCCGCGGUAAUACGGAGGGUGCAAGCGUUAAUCGGAAUUACUGGGCGUAAAGCGCACGCAGGCGGUCUGUCAAGUCGGAUGUGAAAUCCCCGGGCUCAACCUGGGAACUGCAUUCGAAACUGGCAGGCUAGAGUCUUGUAGAGGGGGGUAGAAUUCCAGGUGUAGCGGUGAAA
rnacentral:rRNA from 1 species